GGCCCCGUGGCGCAGCCAGGAUAGCGCGCCGGCCUCCUAAGCCGGGUGUCGGGGGUUCAAAUCCCCCCGGGGCCGCCA
rnacentral:tRNA from 3 species